ACAAACUCUGCAUGACUGGCCCUGCAUUUCAGGCAUUGCAUACAACUUUAAAUUCCUGUUUUAUCUAGAAUAUGCCUCAUUAGGGGAAAAAAACAAACAGCAAAUAAAUUUACAAGAAUUGAAGGGAAAGGAACUAUAUGCCAGUCAAAUACUUAUGCACUAAUACUAAUAGCCUAACAGAUAACACCACAUAAGAACUGCUACUUGAACCAUUCCAGAAAUUCUCAAUUUGAUUCUGAAAAAGCACUUAACAUUAAAUCCUUUCACUACCCUGA
rnacentral:misc_RNA from 1 species